GCCUACUGAGCGAUAGCUCAGUAAAGCAUGAGAGUCUUAAUCUCAGGGUUGUGGGUUCGAGCCCCACGUUGGGCA